rnacentral:rRNA from 1 species
AGGAAUAUUGGACAAUGGGGGCAACCCUGAUCCAGCAAUGCCAUGUGUGUGAAGAAGGCCUUAGGGUUGUAAAGCACUUUAGUUGGGGAGGAAAGCUUUGAGGUUAAUAGCCUUGAGGAGGGACGUUACCCAAAGAAUAAGCACCGGCUAACUCCGUGCCAGCAGCCGCGGUAAUACGGGGGGUGCAAGCGUUAAUCGGAAUUACUGGGCGUAAAGGGUCUGUAGGUGGUUUGUUAAGUCAGAUGUGAAAGCCCAGGGCUCAACCUUGGAACUGCAUUUGAUACUGGCAAACUAGAGUACGGUAGAGGAAUGGGGAAUUUCUGGUGUAGUGGUGAAAUGCGUAGAGAUCAGAAGGAACACCAAUGGCGAAGGCAACAUUCUGGACCGAUACUGACACUGAGGGACGAAAGCGUGGGGAUCAAACA